UCAAAUGAUCUCAACGUGCCUCAGAGGCGCUUAACAUUUUUCUCUCAUUUAACCAUUACGAAUAUGAAGAACCUAGUCGUGACGAGUUGGACCGAGUCGACUCGGAAUCUCUUCAAACCAGUCAUCGUUUUAGUCAUCACUUUCGCUGCCACCGUCAAACUAUCUCAGUCUCUCUAUCGCUACAACCUCCGCCGCCGCUCAAGAGCUCGCUCUGGAACGAUGUCGUCGUCUUCUUCAUCUGACAAUGGCACCGGCGUCCAAGCUCGUAGGCGCAGUCGUAUUCUCUCCAGCAAGCUCUACUUCGACAUCCCCAACUCCAAGGUGCCGUUGAUUUAUUCGUCUGCAUACGAUAUUACUUUUCUUGGCAUCGAGAAGCUGCACCCGUUUGAUUCGAGUAAGUGGGGUCGGAUAUGUGGGUUUCUGUUGGUGGAUAAUGUUGUGGACAAAAAUUGCAUCGUAGAGCCUCUGGAAGCUUCAAAGAAUGAUCUCCUUGUGGUACACUCGGAAGCAUAUUUGAAUUGUCUAAAGAAAAGUGCAAAUGUUGCUAUGAUAAUUGAGGUACCUCAUGUUGCCGUAUUCCCGAAUUGCCUUGUGCAGCAGAAAGUUCUCUAUCCAUUUCGCAACCAGGUGGGGGGAACUAUCUUGGCUGCAAAGCUUGCAAAAGAGCGAGGAUGGGCCAUCAAUGUUGGGGGAGGAUUUCAUCAUUGCUCUGGGGAAAAAGGAGGGGGAUUCUGUGCUUAUGCAGAUAUUUCUCUUUGCAUACACUUUGCCUUUGAGCGGUUAAACAUAUCAAGGGUGAUGAUUAUUGAUCUUGAUGCACAUCAAGGAAAUGGCCAUGAAACGGAUUUUGCCAAUGACAGUCGAGUCUAUAUACUGGAUGUGUACAACCCUGGAAUAUAUCCAUUUGAUUAUGAAGCAAGGAGAUACAUUGAUCAGAAGGUUGAAGUAGUGAGUGGAACUACAACAAAUGAGUACUUGAGAAAAUUAGAUGAAGCACUUGAGGUUUCUGUUCAUAGUUUUGAUCCUGAGUUGAUAGUCUACAAUGCUGGAACUGAUAUUCUAGAUGGAGAUCCUCUGGGCAGGUUGAAGUCCUGAUGGGAUAGCAAAUAGAGACGAGAAAGUUUUCAGGUUUGCUCGUAAGAGGAACAUUCCUAUUGUCAUGCUCACAUCAGGUGGUUACAUGAAGUCUAGUGCCAGAGUUAUAGCAGACUCGAUAACCAAUCUCUCGAACAAAUGCCUUAUAGAUACAGGUAAAAACAUGACCGCCACAUGAACCAUUCCCCAACGUUUUUUGUGGCUAUUUACGAGGUUGGGUCACUACCAAGAAGCCAUGACAUGGGUUUCAGGAUUCAUACAAGAAUGAUAUAUGCAUCUGAGACGAGCUAGGCAUGCAUAUUCACUAAAAACAAUGUAUAGCAAUAGCUUAAGUAGCGGGGGAGAUUCAUCAUUCUGCGUUCUGGUUGGCCAUGACUGCAUCUUGUAAUAUACAGUCACGCGUUCGAAUUCGAUGAGAUAAGAGAACGCCUGCACUUAGGUUCUGCAUAAAUGUGUUGAUUAUCGAAUUCGAUGUAAUAUAGUCACGCUUUCAGCCCUUGUUU